AUACGUAGGGGGCAAGCGUUAUCCGGAUUUACUGGGUGUAAAGGGAGCGUAGACGGCGAUGCAAGUCUGAAGUGAAAACCCGGGGCUCAACCCCGCGGACUGCUUUGGAAACUGUAUUGCUGGAGUGCAGGAGAGGUGAGUGGAAUUCCUAGUGUAGCGGUGAAAUGCGUAGAUAUUAGGAGGAACACCAGUGGCGAAGGGGGCUCACGGAACUGUAACUGACGUUGAGGCUCGAAAGCGUGGGGAGCAAACAGGAUGAGAUCCCCUGGUAGUCCACGCCGUAAACGAUGAAUGCUAGGUGUCGGGGGGCAAAGCCCUUCGGUGCCGCCGCUAACGCAUUAAGCAUUCCACCUGGGGAGUACGUUCGCAAGAAUGAAACUCAAAGGAAUUGACGGGG
rnacentral:rRNA from 1 species